UGAAGUCGUCCAAUUUAAACUAAAGAUUAAAUUGGAAUAUUAAGAGCUAGACUUGGUGUAAACAACUGACACUCAUAUCCCUGCGGCACGGAAUAGUGGUGACACAGUGUCAGUUGUUACAUGCAGCCAAAAUAAAUAUAUAUUAUCAGCAAAGGAUGCCGCUCAUCGUAUGAAAUAUUACACUUCGCAGCUGCAUUCCAGCGAGGUCUCAGGAACCGUUGGGAAUAUCGCUGGACCAGCGGCUUCGAAGAUGUAAUUGUAAAAGGUUAUUGGAGGAUUUGAAACGUGUUUCUGCAUAUGGUAAAACGUUUAACAGUGUGUAAAUGUAAUGUGUGUAAUCCCUACGGACAGAAGUGUUUCAGCCUAUGAUAAUAAACAGUGAGUAAUUGUAA